rnacentral:rRNA from 1 species
GUGCAGCAGGCGCGAAACCUUCGCAAUGCAGGAAACUGCGACGAGGGAACUCCAAGUGCCUACGCUCAGCGUAGGCUGUUCUCAAGCCUAGAAAGCUUGAGGAGUAAGGGCUGGGGUAAGACGGGUGCCAUCUGUGGUAGCAGUCAAUAGAUUCGAUUUGUUACUGCAAGGCAUAAGCCGCCGCGGUAAUACCCGCAGCCCAAGUGGUGGCCGCUUUUAUUGGGCCUAAAGCGUCCGUAGCCGGCCCGGUAAAUGCCUGGGUAAAUCGUGGAGCCCAACUUCACGAAUUCCGGGUAGACUGCCGAGCUCGGGACCGGAAGAGGGAGAGGGUACUUCAGGGGUAGGGUGAAAAUUUCCUUUCCAUUAACGCUUUGCGCGAAGCGGAAAGGGUUAUCAC